AUUAGGAAGAAAUUCUUUACUGUGAGAGCGGUGAGACACUGGAACAGGUUGCCCAGUGAGGUUGGGGAUGCCCCCUUCUUGGAAGCAAUCAAGGCCAGGCUGGAUGGGGCUCUGAGCAACCUGGUCUAGUGGGAAGUGUCUCUGCCUAUAACAGGGGAUUGGAACUACAGGAUCUUAAAUGUUUCUUCAAACCCAAACCAUUCUGUGAUUCUACAAUUUACUGUGCAGGUGACAGAGUGCUGGCACAGGCUGCCCACAGAGGUUCUGAUAGGUAAGUGGCAGGGAAACAGCAGGUUCACCACAACAGGCUCACUGGGGAAAUGUGCAGUUAUGUGUAAGGGCAUCAUAGGUGACAUCUGUAGUAUUAUUUAAACUGUUGUUAAAGGCCAGAGCUUCCCUAUUGGAAUAUAGUAAAGGAUCAUUGGACUGGUCUUCUGUUUCUUCAUCCUUUGGCUGUACCUACCCUUAUUUCCAACUGUACCAUGCUCAUGAACUGGGAACUUUGGUCCUGUGAUUCAAAUAUCUCCAAGACACUUGAGGCAAUCUUUUGUUGGCCAAAUAAGUUUAUUUUGGCUUUCAACUUGGAAAUAUACUUUUUUUUCCCCCAGACGUCAUUUGUAGAGAGCACAGCACAACAAGUUUUGCCCUUGAUUUGAUCAUUUCUGGAAAAACAAACAAGCCAUGGUAUUGUAGAAACCCAGUUAACAAGUAAAUUAUGUUAGCCUGGGUCCUUUGACCAGCACAAUGGAUGCACUGUAUUUGCCAGGUUACAGAGAGGGGUGGGGAGCAGAGCUAUUUGUCCUUCAAACCUUUAGAGAGGAGGGAGUGGAGAGAUUCCAGACAUAGCAUCACCGAGUGCCUCAGCUGGGAACUCCAGUGAUAGAUGUGCUGUUCAGCUGCGUUCAGGAGAAUCGCUACCCAAGACUCCUCAGUAGCAUUAACAUUCAAAGGCAUUAAUAAAAAUAAUAUAAUAAAAAUAAUACACUUCAAGAGCUUUUUCUGUUAAUCAUUUCUCUUAAAAAAAUGCUGAAAAUUAGACCUGGGACUUAUCAGACACUACUUGGUGUAGAUCAUGUAGUUCCCACAUAUACUGUUUCAAAAGAGCUGCAGUUUGGCUAGAAGCACGCUGGUAUUUCAUGGGUCACUUAGCUGUUAACUACUCUUACGUCUGCGCAGCUGAUAAAAAAUCAGUAACUUAAAUCUUUUUUGCUGAGCCCCACAUCCCAUCAUUAUGCAAAAAGCAGAAGAACUGUGAUACAGUAAUUUCUCCACAAGCUGAAGAAGCGUAAGAAACUGCUGUUGGACUGUGCCUUAUUUGAUGGGGCUUUCUUCUCCUGCUAUAGGAACUUCUUUCAAAGUGACUCGUCACUGCUGUACAAAGGCCUCUUGAUUCAUCUGUCAAAAUGGAAGGGAAAGCUCAGUGAAUCAGGCUUGGAGGAGAAGAGGACUGUUAUCCACACUCCCCCAGAAUCCCCAGAUCUCCCUUCAGUGUUUCCCCCAGGACUGCUUAUCUUUGGGUAACUUGUAUGCAUUUUCAACCAUGACAGCUCCCACUAUAGCUUGGCAAGAACGUCCGCGGGUUUCUGAUAUGGAUUUGUCACGCUUCCUCACCUGGAGUACCAGGUGAGAAGUAUAGAUUAUUCAUUUCUAAUACAUAUCCUGCACCUAUCUGCGUUAUUGUAAAGACUCUGAGGUAAUUUCAACCUUGGAAUCCCUUAAAU